AAUGAACGCUGGCGGCGUGCUUAACACAUGCAAGUCGAACGACUUUAUCUCGCUUCGGUGGGGUGAAGAAGUGGCAGACGGGUGAGUAACACGUGGGCAACCUACCUCCGAGUGUGGAAUACCAUCCCGAAAGGGGUGUUAAUACCGCAUAACAUAUCGAGUACCUUGGUACUUGAUUUCAAAGUUGGGGAUUCGAGAAAUUGGACCUGACGCUUGGAGAGGGGCUCGCGUAAGAUUAGCUAGUUGGUGGGGUAAUGGCCUACCAAGGCGACGAUCUUUAGCCGACCUGAGAGGGUGAUCGGCCACACUGGAACUGAGACACGGUCCAG
rnacentral:rRNA from 1 species